AUACGUAUGUCGCAAGCGUUAUCCGGAUUUAUUGGGCGUAAAGCGCGUCUAGGCGGCUUAGUAAGUCUGAUGUGAAAAUGCGGGGCUCAACCCCGUAUUGCGUUGGAAACUGCUAAACUAGAGUACUGGAGAGGUAGGCGGAACUACAAGUGUAGAGGUGAAAUUCGUAGAUAUUUGUAGGAAUGCCGAUGGGGAAGCCAGCCUACUGGACAGAUACUGACGCUAAAGCGCGAAAGCGUGGGUAGCAAACAGGAUUAGAUACCCUGGUAGUCCACGCCGUAAACGAUGAUUACUAGGUGUUGGGGGUCGAACCUCAGCGCCCAAGCUAACGCGAUAAGUAAUCCGCCUGGGGAGUACGUACGCAAGUAUGAAACUUAAAGGAAUUGACGGGG
rnacentral:rRNA from 1 species